ensembl:lncRNA
AAAUGCGUGAUUUUCGUGUGCAAGGUGGUACUUUCGGGAAGAAAAUGUGUGAUUUCCGUGAGAAAAGUGGUAGUUCUGGAGAGAAAACGCGUGAUUUUGGGGUGAAUGGUGCUAUUUUCUUGGCGAAAACGUGAUAUUUCUGUUUGAGAAGUGGUAUUUUCUGGAGGAAAAAGCGUAAUUUUCGACUGAAAGGGUACUUUCGGGGUGAAAAUGCGUGCUUUGUGAGUGAAGCGUGUUAUAUUUGGGGUAGAAAUGUGUUAUUUCCCAGCGAAAAGUGGUAUUUUCGGGAAGGAAGUGCAGAAUUUUUGGGAGACAGGUGGUAUUUUUGGAUGAAAAUGCAUGAUUUUCGAGAGAAAAGUGGUAUUUCUCGAGAGAAAAUGCGUGAUUUUGGGGUGAAAGGCGGUAUAUUUGGGGGAGAAAUGUGUUAUUUCCCAGCGAAAAGUGGUAUUUUCGGGAAGGAAGUGCAGAAUUUUUGGGAGACAGGUGGUAUUUUUGGAUGAAAAUGCAUGAUUUUCGAGAGAAAAGUGGUAUUUCUCGAGAGAAAAUGCGUGAUUUUGGGGUGAAAGGUGGUAUAUUUGGGGGAGAAAUGUGUUAUUUCCCAGCCAAAAGUGGUAUUUUCGGGUAGAAAAUGCGUGAUGUUUGGACAGAGGUGCGUUUUUUCGGGGGGAAAUGCGUGAUUUUUGGGUGAAAAGGGGCAUUUACGGUAAGGAAAUGCAUUAUUUUCUGGCGACAUGGGGAAUUUACGAAGGGAAAAUGCGUGAUUUUCGGGCAAAAACUUGUAUUUUCGGAGUGACAGUGCAUGGUUUCCGUUAGAAAAGUUGUAUUUUCCGGAAGAAAAAGACUGAUUUUGGGGUGAAAUGGGGUUGUUUCGCGCAGAAAAUGCGUGAUUUUCGUGUGCAAGGUGGUACUUUCGGGAAGAAAAUGUGUGAUUUCCGAGAGAAAAGUGGUAGUUCUGGAGAGAAAACGCGUGAUUUUGGGGUGAAUGGUGCUAUUUUCUUG